CGCUUUUCCUUUUGGAUAUUUUUGAUUUUAUACAAAUGCAUACUUCUUUGAAAAGCAAGCAUUCAUUUGUUAAAUAUUAGCCAUUUCUUAUCUUUUGUCAAACUUUUAAGAUUCAUUUUGCCAAUCCACUACAACCAACUUCCUCCUUACAUCUUCAAAGCUGCCCUUGUUUAGAUUUAAAAUGCGAAAGCAUAGAUGCAACCUGCUCAACCUUUCUUCGUAAGACAGUUCCUUUAUCUGAGGAAUGAACCCAGUGAACUUUAUCUGAAUUGCUUCUAAAAAAAAGUUUCUCCUUAAGGAAACCAAACUGUUCAUAUGCACCAGGUAUGGUUUUACUUUUGCCCUGUAUUUCCAGUCUGCUUGCAUAAAAGGCCAAUUUUACAUUUGUCUUCCAAAUUACUUCCUGUGUACACAUGCUUUUCUUUCCUGCUUUGUGUACAAGGGCACACAGACCCCUGUGUACUGCAGAAUUCUCCAGUCACUCUCCAUCUAAAUAACAUUCUGCUUUUCAAUUCUUCCUGUUCACAUUUUCCCACAUUAUACUCCAUCUGCCAAACCUUUGCCAUUUACUAAAACAACUACACUUAUUUGUGGACAAUGUGUAUCUUCCUUGCAUUUGCUUUGCUACCUUUCUUUGGACCAUAUGCACAUUGCAUGAAUUUGCACGAUCAACAAUGAUCAACUAUUCUGCUGUGAGACGGGCCAGUGCCAGUAUUAAUUAAAGGCUCGGCACCCAAAUUAAAUUUGGGGAGCUUUAUGAACUUCUGCUAUUUCAGUUUGUCUGGAACCCGUGUGCAUUUUGUCUCCAGCAGGAUGUUUUACCUGAUAGAACAAAUCUUAUUUUUCCUCUGAUAGCAUAAGAAAGUAGGAAAGAAGAAUUCAGUGGGCAUUCAAAACUUUUCACUAGUAUAUAAGUUCACUGAUGUCCUUUGGAGAAGGAAACUACCAUCCUUACCUGGUCUGGCCUACAUGUGACUCCACACCCACAACAAUGUGAUUGACUCUUAACUGUCCACUGAGCAAUUAAGGAUGGGCAAUAAAUGCUGCCUAUUCGGUGACACCCUCAUCCCAUGAAUAAAGGAAAAAAAAGGCACAUUAGUGCUUGGGCUCAUAUUAAACUAUUUGGUUACAAAGAGUAGUGUGCUUUUAAUAGUGUACCAUGCUUCAAGUAAUCACAGGUAAGAUGGCAUCAGAGAUGUUUACAUACUCAGGUGACAUGCUAUGACAUAGUGAUUAUACCAUGAGCACAUCUCUUAAAGGUACACUAACCAUGAGGCAUUAUAUGACAUGCACUUCCAAAAAGGUAAAAAAUUAUCCCGGAAGAUAUAAAUGGUUGCACAUAGGCAUGUGUUGUUAAUUUGAUAAUUAUACAAACAUAUUUUAUAAAAAGGUUAUAAGAUUAACAUUUCAGAUUUCAACAUAACAUUUCAGAUGACUGGCAACUCAUCCUGAUCUGGUGAUCUCAUCCAUCUGGAGAGAUGCACUUUGCCGUUUGUUGUACUCGUUUGACAACUUGAUUGUUUUAUUAGCAGUUGGUGUCACUUAACAUCAUCACACAGUCAUCAUCAUUGGAGCAUUCUUUCUUUGUCCCUUCAUGUAUGAUUGGUGUGUUGCACAUCAUUUUAAGUUGAUUUCUGUUCCCUCACAAUAUAAUACAAUGAUGAAUAUCGACUUCGUAUGAUCUGUACUGGUUAACUUUGCUGAUACCUAAGUAUUUUAUUUCAAGCUUACAAUUUGUUCUUUGUGCACAGUCAUGUGCACAGUCUUUACUCCCUUGUUGAUGAUGUAUCUCUUUCAUUCUACUUGGUCUUUGAAGAAGAAUAUCUAUUGCCUCAGAAUAGUUAGAUACUUGUUUGCUGUACAAGAUUGUUCAUACUUAUGAUCAUAUAUUGUGACAGCGAUGGUAAACUUAUCUCUAUUGGUGUUCCAUGAAAAUGUAGUAAUGGAAUAUGAAAAGCUUGACCAUAUUCUGAAAUUUGUUGAUCUGAGUCUCAUUGACAUAUUUAUGUUUAUGCAUCUUGGUUACAUACGCUUUGUUCUAGGCUCUGGUUAAGUUUUAAGUACCCAGGUUUCCUUAUAUGUAUGCCCGACACUGCUUACUACCGCAUGCUUUGCUGAUAUAAAGAAAAGCUGGUUAGCUUUUCAGUAAGUGUGACAAACCAUAUCAAUUACGAAUUUUGUUGAGUCAUGUACUUUCCUGACCAUAGCAAUAAUGUUGGCUGCACCAAAAACUGCAAAUUUUAUUGGUCUGCUAAUAUGAGACUUCACACUCCCAUGCACCUACAAGUAAUGUAUUAAUGGUACGGCCCUUUGAUUGCCCAAAAUUUUCUUCCUAAAGGCUUGAUUAGUGUAGAGGCAAUAACUAACUCAAUGAACCUCAGUAACAGUUCCUAUUUGGAAAAGUCAAAGUCAUGCCCUAUGCUGCUAUAUCAUGUGACAAACUGGUCAAUAGACUCUUGGGGCUGCUGUUACCUAUCAUUAGUUGAACCCUGUAAUUCCAAAGACAUUUUUACCCUGAUCUAGCCUUCAUGAGCUUUUCAUAUAUUUUCUGGAACUUUCUGAUCAUUUGUGGAUUGAGAAGUAUUACAUUCACAGAGACAUCAGUGUCUGGGUUCACAUUGAGCCAUUAGCUUACAAAGAGCAUUAUGCUUUCACUUGCUUGUCAUGUUUCCUAUGUGUGAUCAUCUUCAGCAGCUUCAUCACUGACCUUCCCUCUAUCAGGAGUGGAAAAAUUUAGUGAUGAUUGUACAACUUUCAGCAUGUUGGUAACUUAUUAAAUACUGAAGCAGUUUGAAGCCAUAUGCAGCAAGGCCAGACAACAUUCAGGCUUGGGCUGACAUGUGGUACGUAAUGUUUUGAUCCACACAAAGGUCAAGUCCAAAAAUAGAGAAUCUAAUCUUGUCUCCUUUGUAUUCCAUCAUCAAACUCCCUAUUAUCAACCUUCUGGGGUGUUAUCAUUAACCAGAAACUGAACUGGACUAGCCAUGCCAUAGUUAAUAGAGCACGCAAGAUGUUAGGAAUCUUGUGGAAAGUCACUCACCUCUUGACUUCAAAGCCUGUUCAUCAUUCACAAGGCACAAGGAGUAUGAUGGAACACUUACUUGGAUGAGUGCCUUCCAGUAAUACUCAAGAAGCUCAACACCAUCUGGGACAAAAUAGCCCUCUUGAUUGGUGUCACACCACAUUAAACAAUGGCAUCAUCACCAUUGAUGCAGUGGCAGAGAUGUGUACCAUCUACAGGGACACAGAAACAAGUCACCGAGGCUCCUCUGAUAGCACCUUCCAAACCCUAAACCUCUACCACCUAGAUGGACAAGGAAAGCAGAUACUUGGCGAUUCCACCACCUGCAAGUUCCCAUCAAACUAGUCAUCAUCAUUGGAACUAUAUUCCCUAACAGUAUUUCAACAAAUUAACUUCACCUUCCAAAAUAUGUCCUUAUAUCCGAUAAUAAUUUGGACACUAGGAAUUUCCUUUGUGCACCAGUUGCUUUCUUUGACUAGGAAAAGGCACAUGAAUAAAUAGCAUCUGUAACGGGAUCAACUGCAAUCUUACUAGACAUGCUGGCUGCAUUUCUAAACUACGCCACCUAUUGUUUUUGCUUUCAAAUUCUAACCUUUUAAUGUAAGUAUGAACCAAUUGAAGUGUAAUUAUCUUAGGGAACCUAUCAUUUUCUCAAGUAUAAUUUCUUUCUUCCCCUAUUUAACAAUUUAAAAAUUCAGGGCCCUGAAUAUAUGGCAGGAUAUGAGUACGAACAGAAUCAAGGCUGCUUCUUCCCUUCUGUUAUCAGACUUUGGACCAGACCUCUCAAAUGUGAUCUUUCUCUCCCUGCAUCUUCUCUGCAGCUGUGACACUGUAUUCUAUACUCUGUAUGUUAUAAACUGCCUGUAGAGCAAAAGAAAAUACUUUUCAUUGUACCUCAGUACAUGUGACAACAAUAAAUAAAAUCAACUGGGACAGCUCACAUCUCCUAUGUUCAAACUAAUAACUCCUCCUGGCUAUCUAGUGUACGGAUGAAUUUCCUCUUUGCUGUAAUGGCAGUAGCUCAUCGACAAGAUAUGACCCUGAACCUGAGGUUAUUGUAAUCUAAAUUAUAUGGGCAGAUUUUGACGGUAUUGCACUCUCACCAGAUAGUAUGCCUCCUGUGCAGUGGGGGAAGUGUAAGUUGCAGCAGUAACUGUAUAAUGACAACUUGCCAACAGAAGUAAUGAAAUUGUUUUCUUUAAAUUUCGCUUUCAAUUCCGUGCCUUGCCUGGUGGACUUUGGAAUUUUCGUGUUUGCGUUAAGUGUGGGUGGUCCUUUAACUUAUGGCCAAGAGAAACCCUGAGGACAAGAAUGUACCAACAUUCCAAGCGAUCAACAUUGUUAAAUCUGUGCAUGACAGAAAAUGUUGUAAAAUGUACAACAGUUAAGCAUUAACAACAUUUCUAGCACCAUUCAGGAUGGAUAUACCAGAAGUGGCAGAGUAUAUUAAGAAACUGUACAAAAUGUCUCCCCAUCUUUUUACUAUGCAACCUGCCUAAAUUGUCAAAGUAAUCUGAAGAAAUGAAUUUGGGUCGUAAACUGAGGAAGUUCUGAGAAAGGGUCACCGGACCUGAAACAUUAACUCUGAUUGUUUUCUUCACUGAUGCUGACAGACCUAGUGAGCUUUUCCAGCAAUUUCUGUUUUUGUGACUGAUUUACAGCAUCCACAGUUGUUUGUGUUUUUAUUGGAACAUAAACUGCUUUUUCUAAAUCUUCCUUUGUUCCCUGCCUUUCUGCUCAGUAAACUUUUCCCCAAAUUCUCUCUACUGAUGUUAAUCUAGUUCCACCACUCAGUCAGAUUGUCAAACAGUAGACGUUAUUAUUCAUUAUAUCUCUGCUGACUCCUCAUUGCCCCAGGCUUUGUAACUCCUCCUUACUGAUAUCAACUGUCACCUUUUGGAACAUUAAGAAAAAAGUUAUGGAAAAUUAAAGAGGACCAUCUAGUGUUUAAAACAAUGCAGAGGUUUGCCUGUAAAGAUUCCCAUUAAAUCAUUAAACAAUGCUUCCUCAGCUAAUACAUUGCAGAGUCCAUUAUGUAUUUCAAUAAGAGUUAUGAGAAGAAGGCCCUUUGCUACAAUUUUUGGAUGGUUUGUCUCUUUUUACCAUUUUAGUAAAGGCAUCUCCUUUGUAGAAUGAUCCUGUUCACUUGUAAGUACUUUAACCUUUACCAUUUAAUGCACAAGGCAGCAGUACUUGAAACUGAGUGGAAAGUGAUUAAGCAGGUGACAAGGCUGAGAAGGGGGCAUGACAUUAGUGUCUGGUCCUCCCCUCACUGAUAAAGAUUAACAAAAGGAUCAAACCAAAUAAAAUACCUUUCCUGUUGAUCAUCAUCUUCCAUCUUAACCUUACCAACUCCAUUUAAGGAGAAGAACAACAUACAAGGGGACGAAAGGCAAAACAUCUCUGUUUAAGAGAGGAAUCUCUUUAAGCACUGAAAAUGCUCGGUGGCUUAGUGCACUGGCAUGUGUUCUUGCAACAUCUGAGAAAACGAUUGGCCAGUCAUUUCCGAUGUUGAACAUUCAAAAGUGGCUUUUAAGGAACAUAUAGAACAAUGGAAUUUUCCAAUCUCUUGGAAUAAACUCUGUUGAAGAUUUCAUCUAAGUCCAAAAGCUGUCCUUGUAAUUCCUUAGCUGGAUGGCAUCGUUGGUGCUGAAUGGUUACAUGGUGGAAUAAAUACACUCAUCAAUAAAGUUAAGGUCAGAUUACAAAUGACAUACAAAUACUAGCUGUAUUGGUACUGAAAAAUAUGGACUAACUUAAAUAUUUCAGACAAUAAGGAAUUGCAUUUACCGGAAUUAACUCGAUAAGUUCUGUCCAGAGUUCUCAGCCAACAAGGCCCUAUAUCCACAGCUUCUGAACUUUGGAAGUUGCCCAGUUUUCAGGAGGCUUCAAAACAAAAUUCUUUAUUCUCCAAAAUCCAGACAAUCAUGACUUCUGCUCCCACCAUAUUAGCCAUCAGAGCAUUUUAUUAUAAACAAAAUAUAUUAGGUCUGAAUACAACUAAAUUUCAGUGCAAAGAAGAACACUUGGAUGUUGCUUUUUCACAGUUUACAGUGCCGUUCUUCCUAUGAUAAGUGCAGGGUUUGAACCUCUGAUUUAGAUUUACUAAAAGCAACUGUGGCUUUCAAAAAUAUUUGUUUUACUAAGUGUUUUGAUCCAACACACGGUAAUUUCCUUAAAGGUUAGAGAAACUUCACAGAAGGAGUCUGGCAGUGAAUCGCCUUCACAAACGGAAAUGGGAGAAGCUAAUACUGAUGGCAACCAUAUUUAUUGGUGUUCUUUGCCUUGACUGUCAGCAGUGUUGACUCAGCUUGUUCUGUUUUUCUAUUCUAGGUGGGCAUCACCACCAUCAAAAAGGGAGACUUCAGUCAUGUUGCUAUAUCUCAUGUGGUGUACAAUAAUGCCCUUGCAUUACCAGUUUUCCUUCAAAGGAGAAAACGUCACAUGUUGGGACAGAGAGGACAAGAACCAGAAGUUGAGGUGGCUGACACUCAUGUUCACAUUACAUGAGUAAAAGAUCCUUGAACUGCUGGAAAGAGACAAAGACUGCUUAUAUACAAAUGCCACAACCAUCAUGUCAAGACAGCCAAGCACCAACGGUACCUACUCAAUCACUGCCCAAAGGACCAGCCCCUUAGCCAAUCAACUACUCUUAAGUAGAAACUACAUAUCCUUCGGAGGAUUUACCAGCAAGGUUUUCUCCUGUACCCUUCAUCAGCUCAGAUGUUGGCACCUUGCUAGGAUGUCUUUCUAGAUUGGAUUCAGGGACACUCUCCACAUCUCAGGCACGUCUUUGUAGCUAGUUGAGGAAAACAUACCCCUGGCUGAUGGCAUGCAGAGUACUGCCAGAGACGAGGUACUUGUUCGAGCCCUGACAAAAGAUUGCUCCAUGUUGUCAACCAUUAAUAAUUUUGAAGAAGCGCACAGUCACAGGAGCAGCAGGCAGCUUUGUAGGAGACCUGUGAGGACCUGUCUCAAAGGUUGGAUAAGUCUGGUGUUAUCAGUACAUUGCUGGCUCUGGAAUGCUUAUGCAUGACUGUCUUCAUGGUCAGGUUGACAGAUACCAUGUAAAGUUAGGUCUAAUUGAACACUCAGCAGCUGCUGAGAAUGUAUGCUGACCUGCGCUCCAUCACCUUAGCCAUUGUGGUUCAACAUUAGCAACAAGUGAGAGGCAGAAAAGGGGCCUCAAACGGAUUCAAAUGGCCUGUCCUCUCGAGGAUGCAGAAUGGUGCCUGUAGGCACAUGGACAGAGGAGGUCCCACAUACAGCACACCCUCUCCUCUAAGGAGUUACCUCUCAGGACAUUCCAGAGGUGCCACACCCCCUCUACCUUUAUACUGCCCGUGAUUUGCAAUGCUGUGGAAAUUGCAAAUGAGGAGGGUGGGCCUGUAUCUGGGCAGGAUAUGCACAGCAUGUCAGAGUUAUAGAAUUAUACAACACAGAAACAGUCCUUUUGGUGCACCAUGUCGAACCAAACUCGCUCCGCCCACUGCCUCCACAGCCAGCAGCUCCAAAGGAGACAGCAGCACACAUCCCUGCCGGGUCUUCACCAUUCCCCCAGACCUCCCCUUUACUGAGGAUGAAUGGUCAGUCCUCAGUAAAGGGCUCACCUUUGUCCCCUCCAACCAAACAUCAACAAAUACCGGUUACUCUUGGAUGUUGUACAGUUUUUCCACUGCCUCCGCCUCCGCGCUUACUUCUUCAACUGUGAGCCUAACCCUCCCUCUACUGACCCCCUUCUCCCACCUCCAAUGCACUCCCUCCUCCUGGACUUCAGCCCAAGGCCUCCUACCCUCCCUCGACCUCUUCAUCUCCAACUGCCGUCAGGACAUCAAUCGCCUUAACCUCUCCACCCCUCUCACCCACUCCAACCCUCCCCUGCAGAACAUGCAGCCCUCCGCUCCCUCUGCUCCAAUCCCAAUCUCACCAAGAAAACCAUGGACAAGGGAGGUGCGGUUGUAGUAUGGCUCACUGACCUCUAUAUCAUUGAGGCCAGAUGCCGACUCUCCGAUACCUCGUCCUACCGCCCUCUUGAUCAUGACCCCAUCCCUGACCACCAAACCAUCACCUCCCAAACUAUCAAAAGCCUUCCUGCUCCUAUGAUGCUGCUUGCCCUGCUGUGUUCAUCCAGCUCUACACCUUGUUAUCUCAGAUUCUCCAGCAUCUACAGUUCCUACUAUCUCUAAAACAUCAAACUACACUAGCCCCAUUUAUCUGAAUCUGUUCUGUAGCCUACUAUGCUGUAGAAUUUUAACUGUUCAUCCAGAUGCUCCUUAAAUAUUGCAAGAGUACCUGCCUCUGCUACUUGCUCGGGCAGUGGGUUCCCCUGGGUGAAAAAAAAUUUCCUCAGAUCUCCUCUAAACCACUUACUCCUCACUUAAACUCGUACCCUCUCGUCUUAGACAUGUUCCAUCUGCCACAUGGAAAGGAUUCAUACUAUCUACCCUGUCUAUGUCUUUUAUAAUGUUGUAGGCCUCAAUCAGAUGCCUGCUCAGACUCCUCUGCUCCAAGGAAAGCAAUCCCAGUCUAUUCAGUCUCCCUUCACAACUAAGACUUAUCAUCCAGAUAGUAUCCUCGUGAAUGCAUUGUGUCCAUGCAUUCACAUCCUUCUGAUAGUGUGGCCACCAUAUCAGUUUUUCACUUGUUGCUUAACUUUAUAAAGUUGGAACAAGACUUCCUUGCUCCUAUAUGCUACGCCCUGACUAAUAUAGCAAGCAUCCCAUACGCCUUCUUCACCUCCCAAUCCACCAAUGCUGACACCUUCAGGGAUCUAUGGACUUGUACACCAAGGUUCCUUUUUUAAUCAGAACUCCCUAGGGCCCUUCCAUUCAUUGUACUUAUCCUUCCCUUUUUAGACCUCCCAAAAUGCAUGUCUAGGUCCUCUAGUUACAAGUACCGCUCUGCUCCCCUCCUCUGAAGUGUCAUCUGCCCAAAUCUUCGGGCCAACAGCCUCUGCUACAGAAAAGGCUCCUUCCGCCAAAGCUGUGAAUCAAGGGACUGUGCCUAGACUUAGUGGGAGGACAAAAUGUUCUUUUGUGUACAUACAACAGCAUGGGUAAUAUUUCAUUGUAAGUACUUUUGCAUAUCUACAAAUAUAUACAUAUUUUAGGUGAUCACAUAUCUGAACGACUGUCAUUUUAACAUAGUAUUGCAUUC